rnacentral:sRNA from 1 species
GUCACGUGAUUGCCGCCGGGAUUCAACGUGUUCCUCCUGGUUUUCUCCUGCCUCGUGCUGUCUGUGUUUUCCACCAUCAAGGAGUAUGAGAAGAGCUCGG